AUUGAACGCUAGCGGCAUGCCUUACACAUGCAAGUCGAACGAGUGGCGGACGGGUGAGUAACACGUGGGCACCUACCCAUCCGAGGGGGAUAACUACUCGAAAGAGUGGCUAAUACCGCAUACUAUUGGAGCGGGCGAUAUGGGAUUAGCUAGUUGGUGGGGUAACGGCCCACCAAGGCAACGAUCCGUAGCUGGUUUGAGAGGACGACCAGCCAAACUGGAACUGAGAAACGGCCCAGACUCCUACGGGAGGCAGCAGUGGGGAAUGUUGGACAAUGGGAGAAACCCUGAUGCAGCCAUGCCGCGUGUGUGAGAAGGCCUUCGGGUUGUAAAGUACUUUGGGCGAAGAAGCGGUAACCGCAGAAUAAGCACCGGCUAACUACGUGCCAGCAGCCGCGGUAAUAC
rnacentral:rRNA from 1 species